AGCACAGCCGCCGCCGCCGCUGCCGCCGCCGCCGCCACCGCCGCGUCUUCUCAGCGUUGCGCACCACCCGCUGCCUUUGCCGCCGCAGCCCGGCUCCGGAGCGUAGAGCGAGGGGCACCGGCCCCGCAGCCUACCCACCCUUCGGGCCGCGUGCGCUGCAGCCGGCAUGGGGGGCCACUAAGAGCAGGCACUCCUUCCCUCUGGCACCCCCUCCGGCCCCUGGCCACUGGACUCCGGCCAGCGAGCCUCGGGCACCUCUGCCCCCAGUCCGGCGCCUGGCACGGCCCUCCGCUCUGCCCCUCCGGCUCUGAGCAUCGUGUCCCCGCCCCCCCCCCGCCCGCGCCUGGGACACCUGGGUCCUCCGGCGGCCCCGAGGAGAGGGGCGGGGGGGGGGCAUGAAGCCGCUGGAGAAAUUUCUGAAGAAGCAGACGUCGCAGCUGGCGGGGCGAACGGUGGCGGGAGGUCCCGGCGGGGGUCCGGGUAGCUGCGGCGGGCCUGGAGGGGGUGGGGGACCUGGCGGGGGCGGCGGUCCAACCGGGGGACCGCGGCCACUGCAGCGGCGUCAGAGCGUGUCUCGCCUGCUGCUCCCAGCUUUCCUCCGGGAGCCCCCCGCCGAGCCGGGGCUGGAGCCGCCCCCUGAGGAGGACGGGGGCGAGCUGGCGGGGGUCGCGGAGGAGCUCAGCAGCAGGGGGCCCUGUUGGCUGCAGCUAGAGGAGGUGCCAGGGCCCGGACCGCUCGGGGGAGGGGGGGCCCUGCGCUCCCCUUCCUCGUACUCCUCAGAUGAGCUGUCCCCGGGCGAGCCCCUGCCUUCCCCACCCUGGGCCCCCCUGGGCGCCCCCGAGCGGCCGGAGCAUCUUCUGAACCGGGUUCUGGAGCGGCUGGCUGGAGGGGCCACCAGGGACAGCGCUGCCUCAGAUAUCCUGCUGGAUGACAUCGUUCUCACCCAUUCUCUCUUCCUCCCCACGGAGAAAUUUCUGCAGGAGCUACACCAGUACUUUGUCUGGGCCGGUGGCAUGGAGGGCCCCGAGGGACUGGGCCGGAAGCAGGCCUGUCUAGCCAUGCUCCUUCAUUUCUUGGACACCUACCAGGGGCUGCUGCAGGAGGAGGAGGGGGCUGGCCGCAUCAUCAAGGAUCUGUACCUGCUGAUUAUGAAGGAUGAGUCCCUUUACCAGGACCUCCGAGAGGACACACUGAGGUUGCACCAGCUUGUGGAAACGGUGGAGCUAAAGAUCCCAGAGGAGAGCCAGCCGCCCAGCAAGCAGGUGAAGCCACUCUUUCGCCACUUCCGUCGGAUAGACUCCUGUCUGCAGACCCGCGUGGCCUUCCGGGGUUCCGAUGAGAUCUUCUGCCGGGUCUACAUGCCUGACCACUCUUACGUGACCAUACGCAGCCGCCUCUCAGCAUCCGUGCAGGACAUCCUGGGCUCUGUGACGGAGAAACUGCAGUACUCAGAGGAGCCUGCGGGGCGUGAGGAUUCCCUCAUCCUGGUAGCUGUAGCCUCCUCAGGAGCUCGUUCUCCUGCAGAGAAAGUCCUUCUCCAGCCGACGGAAGACUGUGUGUUCACCACGCUGGGCAUCAACAGCCACCUGUUUGCUUGUACCCGGGACAGCUAUGAGGCCCUGGUGCCCCUCCCCGAGGAGAUCCAGGUCUCCCCUGGGGACACCGAGAUCCACCGAGGGGAGCCUGAGGACGUCGCCAACCACCUUACCGCCUUCCACUGGGAGCUGUUCCGCUGUGUGCACGAGCUGGAGUUCGUGGACUACGUGUUCCACGGGGAGCGCGGCCGCAGGGAGACGGCCAACCUGGAGCUGCUGCUGCAGCGCUGCAGCGAGGUCACGCACUGGGUGGCCACCGAGGUGCUGCUCUGCGAGGCCCCGGGCAAGCGCGCGCAGCUGCUCAAGAAGUUCAUCAAGAUCGCGGCCAUCUGCAAGCAGAACCAGGACCUGCUGUCCUUCUACGCCGUGGUCAUGGGGCUGGACAACGCCGCGGUCAGCCGCCUGAGGCUCACCUGGGAGGUGAUGAGACCUCUUGGCUUUCCUCGCCUCCCACCCGCGCUGGCCUACCUCGGGGAUCUUGGCCCCCAGCCUCAGUCUCGAUAUUCCGGGCUCAGCCCCAGAGCGGCCCCUCCGGGACCGGACCGAAGCUUGCCUCUAGGGAGCUUUGUGCCAAUUGGAAAGAGGCGCCCUCUUCUGGCAGACACAGCCCCAGGACACACAGCGGGGCUGGGGGACCUGUCCCGGUCCGUGCACAUUUGUGAAGAGGCAGAUACCACGUCUGGGUGGGUGGGAGACUGCAGGGAAAGGCAACCCAGGGCAGGCUGCAGACUUGGCUCUUGGAGUCCAGACAGCGCCACGCUGAGGCCCCUUUUAUGUGGCACGUGCAUCAGCAGAGGCCUCCAUUUGCCCGGAGUAACUCAUUCCUCGGACUAGGGAAGGGCUGGCUGGACCUCCCCACCCGCCAGCUUCCCAGCCCCCCGUAAGACACUCAGGCCCUUUCCCCCUCUAACACCUGGGGAUUAGUCAGGAGAUCCGUGGAACCCAAGGAGCUCCAGACUCUGACAUUUCUUCCCCUUCCUUCAAACUGCAGAAGCUGCCGGGGAAAUUCAAGAAUUUGUUCCGCAAAUUUGAGAACCUGACAGUGAGUGGCUUUGGCUCUUUUUAUCUGCGCCUGGGCUGGCACACUAGAGACUUUAUGUGCCCAUAAACCUUUCACCUCAAGCUUCCCUUUCAAGGUUUUUAGUGCCUGCAACCCCCCCCUCCCUCCCAACCCUGCUGGGCGGGAAGAUGGGAGGGCUACUGUUUUGUUAUCGCUGGACAGGAGGGGAGAGCAGCGAAGCCUCUGGCUAGACACCCAAACACACCCGUCUGCCUGCAGAUAUCUCUAGGGCAGGGGAUGGGGGAGCACUUGGCGUGCACUGGGUCUAUCUGUCCUUUAUCCCUCUUUUGCGGAUGCUAGGACCCCUGCAGGAACCACAAAAGCUACCGAGAAGUGAUCUCCAAGAUGAAACCCCCUGUGAUUCCUUUUGUGCCUCUGAUCCUCAAAGGUGAGGGUCACCUCCAAGCAAUGUUCUCCUCUCCACACUCUCCAGGCCCCCCCUCUGACCCUCAGUUCCCUCUCAACUCAGCUCUGUGUGUGCCCAUCUAGAGAGGAGCACCCCCCCAACACUGGGUGCACUCUGGGGGAGGGGAAGGGCCCUUGGACGCGUCUUUUUUUUUUUUUUUUUGCUUUUUAGGGCCACACCUGCAGCAUAUGGAGGCUCCCAGGCUAGGGGUUGAAUCAGAGCUACAGCUGCCAGCCUACACUACAGCCACAGCAACAAAGGAUCUGAGCCACAUCUGCGACCUAUACCACAGCUCACGGCAACGCCAGAUCCUUAACCCACUGAGCGAGGCCAGGGAUCGAACCCGAAACCUCAUAGUUACAUCAGAUUCAUUUCUGCUGCGCCACAACGGGAACUCCAAGGGACGAGCUCUCUUAUCCACCUGCUUCUCUCCCCAUCCCUAGACCUGACUUUCCUGCACGAGGGGAGUAAGACCCUUGUAGAUGGCUUGGUGAACAUUGAGAAGCUGGUGAGUGACACUGCCCACCCGGGUCCCAUGAGUGGGGGGGCGGGCUGGGCUCCUCCCCUUCUCCCGGAUCCCCCUAGAGACAGCAGCCUUUCUCAUGGUGCCCAGCUUUCCUGACAGGCUCCUAACUGUCUCCCUGGUGGUAUUGCUGUGGCAACCUGCCCACGGGUGGCAAAGCUGAGAGACAGCUCAGGUUGCCGGCCUACUGUACCUCCCCCUCACCUGGCACCCUGUUCCACCCGUUCUUUGGUCCUUCAGAGACUCUCCAGAGUUGGGGACUGGCAGGAGAAAAACCAGCAGAAUUAGAGAUCGGAGGAGGGGGAGUGUUAAAGGGGGGAGCGUCUUUGUUUGCCCUUUUCAGGGCUCAUUCCUUGUCAUCUCCCAGCAUUCAGUGGCUGAAAAGGUGAGGACAGUCCGCAAAUACCGCAGCCGGCCCCUGUGCCUCGAUAUGGAAGCCUCCCCGCAUCACCUGCAGACCAAGGCGUAUGUGCGCCAGUUCCAGGUCAUCGACAACCAGAACCUCCUCUUCGAGCUUUCCUACAAGCUGGAGGCCAACAGUCAGUGAGAACAGAGGUUCUGGCCGGGCCCUUACCAGGGUCCUCGGGCACCUGGCACUCAAGCACUUUGCACGACGUCCCAACCUGCAUCGUGACCUCUUUCCCUGGAGCCACUUCCCGCCCCACGGGGAAGAGCUGGGAGGACUCACCCCUGGACUCAUAAGCCUGUUCAUGCUGACGUCCUCUCCCCCUGGCGCCCUCAAGGCCAAACCACCCUCUCCGGGGGGGUUCCCGCGGUCCGGGGAAGGGGGGCAGAGCGCGCCUUCCGCUGGCCCCUCCCACCGAGGUCUGUUCCGGAGACAGGAGUCCCCAGCCUCCCCUUCCCAAGCCGGCAGGAAAGCUGCCCCCGCUCCUGCCUCUCAGAGCCCAAUUGUGGGAGAGGUUGGCAGCCUUCCUCUCCACCACCUGCCCAGCCCAGCUUCUCCCUGGUCGCGGCUGCGACUCCUCACAUGUACCCCCGGAAUAGCAUAUUGCCCUUGUGUCCGUGUGUGCCUGCGCGCGCGCGCGGGUGCGCCUGUGUCCCCUUAGAAGGAGCGGGAGUGUAUCUAUUUGAUAAUGACGGAGGGGGUUGUGUGGGCUGGGGAGGGGGUCCUUCUGUUUGGUGCUACCCUUGUCGACUCUUUCCCCACCCCCACCCCUCCCUGCCCAGCCCCUCUGCUGCCCUGCACGCCCAGGCUUGUGGGUGAAGCUGCACGGGAGGGCAGGGAGCACGGCAGGUGCGAGGGUUGGCCAUCAGCCCUCACGAGCCCCCCACUCAGGCCUCCCGGAGGUCCCUGGGUGGGCUCCCACGAGAGGGUAAAAGAUGCUCAGGGAAACACAGGCCUCAGCCGCCUACAGGACCCUCCCUCUGCAUUGCAGUGGGGUGAGGUGUGGCGAUAUCAGGAGUCAGGGGUGCCUGCUACCCAUACUCCUGCUUUUAGGGUGUGUCACUGCCGAGAAGAGAGCAGUGGGAAUUCCCAGCGUGGCGCAGCACAAAGGAAUCUGAUGAGGAACCAUGAGGUUUCGGGUUCCAUCCCUGGCCUCGCUCAGUGGGUUAAAGAUCCGAUGUUGCCAUGAGCUGAUCCCCCGUGGCUGUGGCUGUGGCAAAGGCAAGCAACUGCAGCCCGGAUUGGGCCCCUGCCCUGGAACCCCGGGUGCGGCCCUAAAGAGCAAAAAGGAAAAAAAAAAAAAAAAAAAAAAAGAGAAGGGAGUGGUGAUCUCCCUUCUGUGGGGUAUCAACACUCAGUCUCUUCCCCCCUGUCCUGACUCCCCCUGGGUCCUUCCCAUCAGAGCCAGGCUGGGGUGGACCUGACCCUGGGGCAGGCAGCCCCCUGAAAUUGGGGAGGGAACGGCAGAGAGGAAAAAGGCAGAACUGGACUCUGGCAAUGCCUCUCUGUCUCCCUCCUUCUCCUGUCCCGCGCCUCCAGGGCUGAGGGGUGCAGGGCUCUGGCAGCUAUGGGGUGAGGUUUCCUGGCGCCUCACCCUCCUUCUGGCACCACCUCUUUCCCUUCUGAAGAGGCAGCGGCCCCCAAAGCGACUGCUGCUCCUGCUCCGAGGGUGUAUAUAUUUUUUACCAAAGGCUCUGGAAUUGUAAAUUUAUUUUUUAAAACUCAAAGAGGGAAAGAGCCUUGUAUCAUAUGUACACGAUGUAUCAGAAGUUAUGUUGUACAGUCCCUUUUAUACCGCAGUCUUGCUCCUGCUGCACAAAAUGUCUGUGGACGCCCCGACCCCACCACAUCCACAGGCGCCGUGUCCCACCCCCUCGGUCCCUCACAGACAGUGACCGUGCCCCCUCCUGCUCCCUGCCUCCUCCCUGCUACUGCGGAUGUGCCCUUCCUCCCGACCCCUCUCAGCAGCCUUGUCACUCCAGCUCUCCCAGCCCUCCUCAAGCCCUGGGGCCCACUGGUCCCCUCUUGGCUGCUGCCCGCCCCUAGCCUUGACGCCUGCCCUGCUGCCUCCCAGGGGCCUCCCGGGCCCCUUCCUGUGCCCCACAGCUUUACCAGAGUGAAUCGUGUGUGCUGUACAGGCUCAGUUGUCAUUGCAGAAACCUCCAGACGGAGUAAAAGCCAAUAAAAGUCUAUGAAUCAACCCA